CUUUGCUGCUAAAAGGGCUACAAGGCACAAAAAGGAUUGAGAACUGGAGUUGUGAGGCCAGCGCACCAGGAGCUUCAGUGACUGAGAUCUCUUAUCCCAUGGUGUUUUUCAAGGAGGCCAUCCAGCAUAUUGUAAGAACGGCAAGGGUUCUUCGACAGCCUGGGGGUCACAUGUUACUGAUUGGGACAGAGGGAUGUGGAAAAGACAGUUGCAC